GAAGUUUUUUUUUUCUGCUCUGGUUGAACGCUGGCGGCGUGCCUAAUACAUGCAAGUCGAGCGAACAGACGAGGAGCUUGCUCCUCUGACGUUAGCGGCGGACGGGUGAGUAACACGUGGAUAACCUACCUAUAAGACUGGGAUAACUUCGGGAAACCGGAGCUAAUACCGGAUAACAUGUUGAACCGCAUGGUUCAACAGUGAAAGACGGUCUUGCUGUCACUUAUAGAUGGAUCCGCGCCGCAUUAGCUAGUUGGUAAGGUAACGGCUUACCAAGGCAACGAUGCGUAGCCGACCUGAGAGGGUGAUCGGCCACACUGGAACUGAGACACGGUCCAGACUCCUACGGGAGGCAGCAGUAGGGAAUCUUCCGCAAUGGGCGAAAGCCUGACGGAGCAACGCCGCGUGAGUGAAGAAGGUCUUCGGAUCGUAAAACUCUGUUAUUAGGGAAGAACAAAUGUGUAAGUAACUAUGCACGUCUUGACGGUACCUAAUCAGAAAGCCACGGCUAACUACGUGCCAGCAGCCGCGGUAAUACGUAGGUGGCAAGCGUUAUCCGGAAUUAUUGGGCGUAAAGCGCGCGUAGGCGGUUUUUUAAGUCUGAUGUGAAAGCCCACGGCUCAACCGUGGAGGGUCAUUGGAAACUGGAAAACUUGAGUGCAGAAGAGGAAAGUGGAAUUCCAUGUGUAGCGGUGAAAUGCGCAGAGAUAUGGAGGAACACCAGUGGCGAAGGCGACUUUCUGGUCUGUAACUGACGCUGAUGUGCGAAAGCGUGGGGAUCAAACAGGAUUAGAUACCCUGGUAGUCCACGCCGUAAACGAUGAGUGCUAAGUGUUAGGGGGUUUCCGCCCCUUAGUGCUGCAGCUAACGCAUAAGCACUCCGCCUGGAGAGCGACUUGU
rnacentral:rRNA from 1 species